rnacentral:lncRNA from 1 species
GAAUUUUUCAGAUGAAUCAGACAACCCGUUGUUGGGUUGCUGCCCCUGAAUUGGUAAUUUUAAGGAAAUUUUGCUGUUUUUGGUUAUUAUCUUGAAUAUUAUUAGAGAUAGAGAUAAACUGAAAACAGGAAUAAUGUUCAGCAAAGUAAGAUUUACAAAUAAGUCAACAUGACAGAAAUGGUCAGUUGACCCCUUUAGGAGUUAUUGCCCUUUAUAGUCAAUUUUUAACCAUUUUUCGUAAAUCUUAGUAAUCUUUUACAAAAAUCUUCUCCUCUGAAACUACUGGGCCAAAUACUUCCAAACUUUAACUGAAUGUUCCUUAGGGUAUCUAGUUUGUAAAUUGUAUCCAAAGUUAUGAUCUAUCAACAAACAUGGUCGCCAUUGCUAAAAAUAGAACAUAGGGGUCAAAUGCAGUUUUUGGCUUAUAACUCAAAAACCAAAGCAUUUAGAGCAAAUCUGACGUUGGGUAAUAUUGUUUAUCAGGUCAAUUUCUAUCUGCCCUGAAAUUUUCAGAUGAAUCAGACAACCUGUUGUUGGGUUGCUGCCCCUGAAUUGAU